GUGAUUCAUCACCUUGUUGAAACAUUUCAAUGGAUAUUUAGGCUCAGAUUUUAAAAGAAAGAAAAAACUAGGGAAGGGAUGCUCCCUUAUGCUUGGUGUGAUGAGGGCAGGAUUUAGGGAAAGGGGAGAUUCGAUCCUGGUUGGCAGGCUGGAUAGACAGAAUACAGACAUCGAAGACGGGAGCUGGGCAAAGGCCUUCGAGGCAGAACAACAUCAUGGAGGCUGGAAGGAAGGUCCCGAGCAGGCAUCUCCAGAGAGACAGACCACAGACUGGCAUUUCAUGAGCUCGAAGGCAGAAGACAGUGGGAAUGACUGUUAAUGCUGCCAGUGUUUUCUUCAAGGGGCGAACAUGUUCCAGAACAGCACAGAGGAGCCAGUUGAACAACUUUGUGACUGUACUAAAAACACUUUAUUGUACAUGUUCAAAUGGGGGGAUUUUAUAAGGUGGAAAUCCUGUCUUGAUUCACAAAAUUAUUUAAGGGAAAAAAAUCAACCCACCUCCCUUUCUCUGAAGCGCGUGUGCUGCCUACCUCCUGGCUACAGCGGCUGGCUCCCCUGCUCCUGCCCAAGACCACCCUCAUGGGCCCUGAGGCUGUGGCUGCCGCUUCUCCACCACCAUUCCCUCUCUGUGGGCUCAUUCCCACAGUACGCAAGCAGACUGAUCCCUACCAUCUUAAGAAAACAAAACCAACCCUUGACCUCGCUACGCCCAUGUCUCGCUUCCUCCUUAUAGCACCACUCCUGGACUUGUGUGUCCAUCUUCCUCUCGGUCUUGAACCCACACCACUCUACCAGCCUUGGUCUUGUCCAGGCACAGCGAGCUCCUGCCACCACAUCCUGCAGUGCUCCCCAGUGCUCAUCCUCCUGGCCCUCGCGCCAGCACUCGUAGCGAUGGACGGCUCCUUACCUUGAAGCACCCUUUUCACGAGGCGUUGGACGCCACCCUCCAGCCUCAGUGCCUGCCCUGUCUGUAUCUCCUCAUCUCCUAAACACUGGUGCCCCAGGCUUGGCCCUGGGACCCCUUCUCGCCCCCCAACUAUAUUCAACUCCUCGGUGGUCUCUCACCUCUUCUCAGGGCUUCAUCUGCCACUUCCAUGGGGCCCAAUCGCAAGGUUCCAUCUCCAGCCGGCACUUCUCCCAACGCCAGGCUCAUGGCUGCCGGCUGCCAGCCUGACUUCUGUUUCCAUGGCAAAGGCAGCUCAGAGUGAACGUGUCCAAAAUGAGAGUGCUGAGUGCCUCCCCAAACGUGCUUUCCACCGCCUUCCUAAUCUCAAUGACUAUCAUUCGAGUCUAGCAGUUGAGGGGGCCACAAAUGGCCUUUCCUAUCCCCGCCAACCCCCCAACCCCCAGGAAAUCCAGCUGCCUCAUUCCUCAGGACUACAUCCAGACUCUCACUCCCCCUCCCCGGCCCUAGGCCACCCAUCAUCAGGAGCCUCCCAGCUGACCACCCCGCAUCUGCUCUGGGUCCUUUACCUCCGUUCUUGAAACUGUAGCUCGAGCCUUUUGAAACAGUCAUACCAUGCCCCUCCUCAGCUCAGAACCUCCUAGGCUUCUUAUCUCCCUACAAGGCGCUAGGGAGCAGCUCUACAGCCUCCCCUCCCACUCUGGCCCCCCUGCAGCCCCCCAUCAUGAGCUUCCCUCCCGCCUUCCUCAGGAGGCCCGAGCCUCGCGGAGCGGCCGGGCUGCCUCACAGGGCAAGGGGAGCACAAUGCAGGCUUGGGUCCCUGGCUUUGGGGUCGGAAGGACCAAAGCCCAAGGACUGUCCCUGUACAGCCCACAGCCCCCGUGCUCUCCACAGGACACUCCGCCUGCCUCGGUCUGUGCUUCAGGGCCAGGCCCUUGGUGGACCCACCAAGCCCUCCUCCCAUAUUCCAACCCAUGGUGCUCUCUGUUCCUAGAUUCUCUGACCUACAAAAGCAAAAACAAAUAAAACCCACUGCCAUUGAA